rnacentral:rRNA from 1 species
GACGGACGGUGCAAGCGUUGCUCGGAAUCACUGGGCGUAAAGGGUGCGUAGGCGGCCUGGUAAGUCUGGCGUGAAAGCCCAGGGCUCAGCCCUGGAAGGGCGCUAGAAACUGCGAGGCUCGAGUGCCGGAGGGGAGAGUGGAAUUCCUGGUGUAGCGGUGAAAUGCGUAGAUAUCAGGAGGAACACCCGUGGCUAAGGCGGUUCUCUAGUACGGUACUGACGCUGAGACGCGAAAGCGUGGGGAGCGAACAGG